CCUACGGGUGACUGCAGUGAGGAAUAUUGGUCAAUGGGCGCGAGCCUGAACCAGCCACGUCGCGUGAAGGAUGACUGCCCUACGGGUUGUAACCUUCUUUUAUAAAGGAAUAAAGUGAGGCACGUGUGCCUUUUUGUAUGUACUUUAUGAAUAAGGAUCGGCGAACUCCGUGCCAGCAGCCGCGGUAAUAUGGAGGGUCCGAGCGUUAUCCUGAUUGAUUGGGUUUAAAGGGAGCGUAGAUGGGUUGUUAAGUCAGUUGUGAAAGUUUGCGGCUCAACCGUAAAAUUGCAAUUGAUACUGGCAGCCUUGAGUACAGGUGAGGUAGGCGGAAUUCGUGGUGUAGCGGUGAAAUGCGUAGAUAUCACGAAGAACUCCGAUUGCGAAGGCAGCCUACUAAACUGCCACUGACAUUGAUGCGCGAAAGUGUGGGUAGCAAACAGGAUUAGAUACCCGGGUAGUC
rnacentral:rRNA from 1 species